rnacentral:rRNA from 1 species
AUGGCAGAGCGGCGAGGCAGAAUCGUAUUCUCUGCCAACUAUAGGCCCCCGCUACCAUUCGACAUCUUCUCCUGCCCUUUCUUGCCUUUGUCCAUCAAAGAUGAGCUCCAUCUCACUGAUGGCAUGUCCUACAACUACAACGGCUGCCCAAUCCCUCCCGCUGCACUGAAGACCCUUCUGAAGAUCCCCAAGCUGACUGAAGAAAGCAGCGCCACUGAUGCAGACGUCGACGCUGGCCAUGUCUCUGGCCUUCUCUUUGUCUCGGAGAGGGACCAAGGGCUUGAGACACUAUGCGUCAACUUGUGGUUCAGUGCUGAUGGCAAGGUCAAGGUCUUCACCCUUGCCGACAUUUUUGGCUCAGCGGACUUCAGCGGCACGCGCCUGGAGGACAGUGGCUGCAUUGGCGGUGGCUACAGUGUAGGUUAUCGUAACGUCGACUACUCUCUCAUCUACGUCUCCACCAAGGAGGCGGUGCAGGAAUGCCGUAGCCCCUGGACUGUCGUGUACAGAACCAACCUCACAACAGGCAAGACGGAUCGCCUCACUCCACAAGGGGUGUUUGAUUUGAGCCCGGCGGUGUCGCCGUCAGGGAAGACUGUCGCAGUAGCAUCAUUUCAAGGGAGUUGUUGGAAUGGCGAGAUCGAGAACCUGAAGACAGAUAUCUACGUGAUGAACGUGGAUAGUGAGGGCCUGGGUCGCAAGCUACCCAUUAAGAAUGGUGGUUGGCCAUCCUGGGGCAGCGACAACGUCAUCUUCUUCCAUCGAGGCACCGACAAAACCCUUCCCUCGACUUGGGGCGUGUUCCGGUACAACAUCAGCACCAAGGUAACCAUCCAGGUUACUCCCGAAGAGUUGGACGCGGUGACUCCAGCGGCUAUCAGUGAGACCAAGGUGGCGGUGGCGACCAUCCGCCAGAAGUCCAAGUACAGCGACGUCCGUGUAAAGGCGCAGUACCGGCACAUUGAGAUCUUCAACACAAAUGCCCCGUGGCUGCCACCUGUACAGAUCACCCAGAAGACAAGGCCAGAAAGUGACCACUACAACCCCUUUGUGCUGGACGGCGGGCAGCGCAUUGGAUAUCACCGCUGCAGGAGCGACCUCCUGCAGCACGGAGACGUCGUCCCUCAGAACGUGCACAAGGUGGAGUCGCCGGUGAAGGAAGUCGGGUUGUAUCGGGUGUCUGGCAUGUUUCCGACCAUCUCCAAGGAUGGCUCCAAGCUUGCAUUUGUCGACAAUGAGUUCAAAGCGGUGUGGAUCGCUGAUACCCAAGGGCUGCGUGUCGUGUACGAGAAAAGAGGGCCGGACAGCGUCUUCUGCCCUGUUUGGAACCAGAACCCAGACAAGGACAUCCUCUACAUCUGUGUUGGCCCCUCAUUCAACGCCCAGAAGCCACUGGAGAUCUACUCCAUCCGCAAUGCCUCCAGCAACGCACGACAGAAUGUCAAAAGGCUCACCCAUGGCGGGUUCAACAACGCAUUUCCGUCGAGCAGCCCGGACGGGAACAAAUUCGUGUUCCGGUCGACGAGGGAUGGAGGUGAGAAGAGGCACAAGAACCUGUACAUAAUGCUGGACACGGAUAUGGGUGAAUACGGUGAAGGCUGGGAGACGAGGCUGACGAAAGGGUCAUGGACAGACACCCAUUGCCAGUGGUCCCCGAACGGUGACUGGAUCGUCUUCUCAUCAACGCGCGGCAAACCGCCGCUGGGCUCUGGCAAUCUGAAUAACGGCACAGGGUACUACUCCCUGUACCUGGUGAAGGCAACUGACCCAAUGGUGCUGAUCAGGGUGGCGAGCAAUGGGGGCGACAUCGGUCACAUAAGCCACCCAGUUUUCAGCCCGGACGGGAGGAGCAUCGCCGUGACGGCAGACCUAGCGGCGGUGUCUGUGGACCCGAUCUCGCUGCCAAAGUUCAUGCAUGCAGUGCGGCCCUAUGGUGACAUCUUCUUGGUGGACAUCGACAACCCAGACAACAAGAAAAAGAAUGAAGACAUGAUCAAGGGGUUCCACCGGGUCACGCACAGCAGGUACGAGUGCGGGACGCCGGCGUGGACGACGACCUUGACCGGUGCGACGGAGCCAAAUGUGCAGUGGAACAUGUUGCUGGACAUGGAUCAGUUGUACAAACCGGUGUGUCCGUACGUCCACCCCGACGGGGGCGAGAGCUGGCACAUGACCGGCCACCUCUGCAUCCCCAAGAGAGCCUGCUGA